GUUGCAUUGCUAACUACUGUGGCACGCUACACACAAAGACCAUGUAUCUCUAACUGUGUGCUCAAUGUCUUGUAGACAAUAUCGCCUAACAGUCUUUCUGGAAUGGGUCCUGCNNNNNNNNNNNNNNNNNNNNACACUUCACCCAUUUGCAUUAAGCUUUGUAUCAUUAGAACCCCAGUCAUAUUUUUGAAUGGUCGUGCAUCAUUCCCUCACUUUCCCUGAGAGGGGAGAAAUAAGGAUUUUAGUGUUGCACUUCCUGCUUCCAAUGAUGUAAAAAUCGUCAUUUUGCGUCAUUGGAAGCAGGAAGUCUCAUAUCUCUGUAGAGGGGGUGAGACUACAAACACUACUUCCUCAUUUUUUUUUCACUCACGCUACAGACCUAUUACAGAUCAGUGGGUGGGACUUCACUUGCAGAAACUAAAAAAUGUAACCCCCAUCUUGUUUGGAAGCUAAGCGGAGGCACUAGCGAGCCAGACGUUACGACUAUGGUAAUCAAUCUAAUAUGGAAGAAAUUUCGAAAGUAUGAUGGUCGAAUCAGAUGUUCGUGGCUACCUUUAUGAGCCGCAAUAUAGCGAAGAGCAGCUGAGGCUGCUGCAGCCGAGGCAGAGGACCUGCCUGUCGCGGACGAGGAGCCCGGACUGUCAUGGCUCUGCUCCCCUCCUGCUCCCUUUGCUCCUCCUCCUUCCCUGUGUGCCUGAUGAGGGUGCGGCCUCCAUUCUCCUCACCUGCUGUCUGCUGUCUCACCUGCUCUCAAUCAUUCAUCAUGCCUCAGCCUUCAAGAACCCGGUUUUCCUCCCAUUCAUCGCCAGAUUGUUUCAGCCAACUUAGUGGAACCCUCGUGUGCAGUUCAGUUCCCAGAGUCAGUCUCCUGUGCCUCCCUGUCUCCGGUCUCGCUUUCCAUUUCACCUGCCUGUUCCUGCCGUGGCCGCCCCUCAUCCCCCCCCAGUGUGUGUGUGCGGAAUAAAGACCCCUAAACCGUCCAUCUUGUCUGUGUGUCUGCUCCUGGGUUCAGUAAACUACCCUUGUCAGAACAAUCUGGCCAGCAUGGACCCAGCGGACCCAGACUCCGUCCGGAGCGCACUGGGACAGGGACAACGAGUGGGCCAACACAAGAAGGUCCUCGACGAGAUCGUGGCAGCCAUCCAAGACCUUCGCUGCAGUGUGGUCGCCCUUGGAUCCAAGCUCGAUCAGGUCUCCACCCCUCCCACAGCUCCUACCACCACCACUGAAGCAGCUACUCCCUC
rnacentral:lncRNA from 15 species